rnacentral:tRNA from 1 species
AAGGCGUUUGGCCAGGUAGAGACCGCUGGUGUGCCUCAUUGGCCUGGUGUCUCAUAAUCCCUUGGUCGCGGGUUCGAGUCCCGCCCGCCCUACC